GCUUCCAUGGCUCAGUUGGUUAGAGCGCCAGUCUCAUAACAUGAGGGUUCUCUUGAAUCUUCCAUCUGGAGGUCCUGAGUUCGAAACUCAGUGGGAGCA